rnacentral:rRNA from 1 species
GUAGCUUGCUACCUGACCUAGCGGCGGACGGGUGAGUAAUGCUUAGGAAUCUGCCUAUUAGUGGGGGACAACAUUCCGAAAGGAAUGCUAAUACCGCAUACGCCCUACGGGGGAAAGCAGGGGAUCUUCGGACCUUGCGCUAAUAGAUGAGCCUAAGUCAGAUUAGCUAGUUGGUGGGGUAAAGGCCUACCAAGGCGACGAUCUGUAGCGGGUCUGAGAGGAUGAUCCGCCACACUGGGACUGAGACACGGCCCAGACUCCUACGGGAGGCAGCAGUGGGGAAUAUUGGACAAUGGGCGAAAGCCUGAUCCAGCCAUGCCGCGUGUGUGAAGAAGGCCUUUUGGUUGUAAAGCACUUUAAGCGAGGAGGAGGCUACUUGGAUUAAUACUCUAGGAUAGUGGACGUUACUCGCAGAAUAAGCACCGGCUAACUCUGUGCCAGCAGCCGCGGUAAUACAGAGGGUGCGAGCGUUAAUCGGAUUUACUGGGCGUAAAGCGUGCGUAGGCGGCUUCUUAAGUCGGAUGUGAAAUCCCUGAGCUUAACUUAGGAAUUGCAUUCGAUACUGGGAAGCUAGAGUAUGGGAGAGGAUGGUAGAAUUCCAGGUGUAGCGGUGAAAUGCGUAGAGAUCUGGAGGAAUACCGAUGGCGAAGGCAGCCAUCUGGCCUAAUACUGACGCUGAGGUACGAAAGCAUGGGGAGCAAACAGGAUUAGAUACCCUGGUAGUCCAUGCCGUAAACGAUGUCUACUAGCCGUUGGGGCCUUUGAGGCUUUAGUGGCGCAGCUAACGCGAUAAGUAGACCGCCUGGGGAGUACGGUCGCAAGACUAAAACUCAAAUGA